UCGCUGAAGGAUCGGCCCGCGUCUGAUUAGCUAGUUGGUGGGGUAAUGGCUCACCAAGGCGACGAUCAGUAGCUGGUCUGAGAGGAUGAUCAGCCUCACUGGGACUGAGACACGGCCCAG
rnacentral:rRNA from 1 species